AUACGGAAGGUCCGGGCGUUAUCCGGAUUUAUUGGGUUUAAAGGGAGCGCAGGCCGGUGUGUAAGCGUGACGUCAAAUACAGCCGCUCAACGGUUGUCCGCGUCGCGAACUGCAUGCCUUGAGUACGCUGCAAGUGGGCGGAAUUCGUGGUGUAGCGGUGAAAUGCUUAGAUAUCACGAAGAACUCCGAUUGCGAAGGCAGCCCGCUGUUGAGUCACUGACGCUGAGGCUCGAAGGUGCGGGUAGCGAACAGGAUUAGAUACCCUGGUAGUCCGCACUGUAAACGAUAGACACCCGCUGUGUGGCCUUUUUGGUUGCGCGGCCAAGCGAAAGCAUUAAGUGUCCCACCUGGGGAGUACGCCGGCAACGGUGAAACUCAAAUGAAUUGACGGGG
rnacentral:rRNA from 1 species